AUUGAACGCUGGCGGCAGGCCUAACACAUGCAAGUCGAGCGGCAGCGGGAAAGUAGCUUGCUACUUUUGCCGGCGAGCGGCGGACGGGUGAGUAAUGCCUGGGGAUCUGCCCAGUCGAGGGGGAUAACUACUGGAAACGGUAGCUAAUACCGCAUACGCCCUACGGGGGAAAGCAGGGGACCUUCGGGCCUUGCGCGAUUGGAUGAACCCAGGUGGGAUUAGCUAGUUGGUGAGGUAAUGGCUCACCAAGGCGACGAUCCCUGGCUGGUCUGAGAGGAUGAUCAGCCACACUGAAACUGAGACACGGUCCAGACUCCUACGGGAGGCAGCAGUGGGGAAUAUUGCACAAUGGGGGAAACCCUGAUGCAGCCAUGCCGCGCGUGUGAAGAAGGCCUUCGGGUUGUAAAGCACUUUCAGCGAGGAGGAAAGGUUGGUAGCUAAUAACUGCCAGCUGUGACGUUACUCGCAGAAGAAGCACCGGCUAACUCCGUGCCAGCAGCCGCCGUAA
rnacentral:rRNA from 1 species